AAAAAAAAUCUGAUAACACACACUGGGAAUGAAGGAUAAAGCGCCUACUCUGGAAGCGCUUACUCUGGAAGCGACUCCCGAGCGAGCUUUAUCAUGGCGAUGAAAAACACCGUUUCUUCUUCUCGACCUGAUCUCCAAUUCAGUAUCCGCUCGCCAAAAAUUCAUGCAAUGGCUCUCAAUUUGAGCUGCUCCUUGCCCCUGCCAUCUUCUGUUCAUCGUAAACAUAUUCUCCCACUUCAUGUUUCUGGACGAUUUCUGCACUCUUCCGCCAUUCAGCGCUGGAGAUCUCUGCCAUCGACUUGCUUAGCAUCAGACGGAGCUGCACUCAAUGUGGAGGCGAAGGUCACUGUCGAUGAUCUGUCUCUUGAAGUGCAGAAGAAAGCCAUGGAUGUAGCUCCUGAACUGAAAGGAACUUCCAUCUUUCUCGUGGGGAUCAACAGCUCCCAAAAAACUAAGUUGGGAAGACUCUUGGCUGAUGUAUUGAGAUACUACUACUUUGACAGUGAUAGUUUAGUUGUGGAAGCUAGUGGUGGUGCAGCUGCUGCCAAACUUUAUAAGGAGAGUGAUGAAAAUGGUUUUCGGGCGUCUGAGACUGAAGUGUUAAAACAAUUAUCUUCUAUGGGUCGACUAGUCGUAUGUGCUGGAAAUGGUGCUGUUCAGAGCUCUACUAAUUUGGCGCUUUUGAGGCAUGGCAUAACACUAUGGAUUGAUUUACCACUACAGAUGAUAGCAGAGGAAUUUGCAGAAGAUCAUAGCCAACUUCCUGCAUUUGAUAUAUCUACUUUUGGAUCUUAUUCUGAGGUGCUGGGUCAAAUAACUUCCCUCUACCAAGAAAUGAAAGAUGGCUAUGCCACGGCUGAUGCUUCAAUAUCACUCCAAAAGCUAGCAAGUAAAUCUGGAUACGACGAUCUCAAUGCUGUCACAACCGAAGACAUGGCUUUAGAGGCUCUCAAGGAGAUAGAAAAACUGACCAGAGUGAAGAAGAUGAUCGAAGCAGCAGCAAAACCUUUUUAACCAAAAAUGCAGUUCCUGUGGUGUUCACAUUUCAAAAAUUAAGGUUGCUUUUUGCCCCUCUGGGGUUGAAAAAGGUUCUUCUACUCCCGCUACCAUAGUUCCUAAACUUUAGUUUGUAAUAAUUUAGUUCUUGAACUUUAGUAUGUAACGAUUUAGUCCUUUUUUUUUUAAUUUGUAAUGAUUUAGUUCCUAUGGUAAAUGCUUUUAAGAUUUAAUGAGAUAUCUUAUAUAUCUA